AAUGUACUCCCUCCGUACGGAAAUACUUGUCGUAGAAAUAGAUACAAAUGGAUGUAUCUAAAACUAAAAUACAUCUAGAUACAUCCAUUCCUCAGACAAGUAUUUUCGGACGGAGGGAGUAGUUG
rnacentral:pre_miRNA from 1 species